rnacentral:rRNA from 1 species
GACGGAGGAUGCAAGUGUUAUCCGGAAUCACUGGGCGUAAAGCGUCUGUAGGUGGUCAAAUAAGUCAACUGUUAAAUCUUGAGGCUCAACCUCAAAAUCGCAGUCGAAACUAUUCGACUAGAGUAUAGUAGGGGUAAAGGGAAUUUCCAGUGGAGCGGUGAAAUGCGUAGAGAUUGGAAAGAACACCGAUGGCGAAGGCACUUUACUGGGCUAUUACUAACACUGAGAGACGAAAGC